AUUGAACGCUGGCGGCAGGCCUAACACAUGCAAGUCGAGCGGGGUUUUCGGACCUAGCGGCGGACGGGUGAGUAAUGCGUAGGAAGCUACCCGAUAGAGGGGGAUACCAGUUGGAAACGACUGUUAAUACCGCAUAAUGUCUACGGACCAAAGUGUGGGACCUUCGGGCCACAUGCUAUAGGAUGCGCCUACGUGGGAUUAGCUAGUUGGUGGGGUAAUGGCUCACCAAGGCGCCGAUCCCUAGCUGGUUUGAGAGGAUGAUCAGCCACACUGGAACUGAGACACAGUCCAGACUCCUACGGGAGGCAGCAGUGGGGAAUAUUGGACAAUGGGCGCAAGCCUGAUCCAGCCAUGCCGCGUGUGUGAAGAAGGCCUUCGGGUUGUAAAGCACUUUCAGUAGGGAGGAAGGGGGUUGUGUUAAUAGCACAGCAUUUUGACGUUACCUACAGAAGAAGCACCGGCUAACUCUGUGCCAGCAGCCGCCGUAACAC
rnacentral:rRNA from 1 species